rnacentral:rRNA from 1 species
AAAUAGAACUUUGCAGAGAGAGUUAAGAGGGCGUGAAACCGUUAAUUGGCAAACGAAUCGGAGCCACGAAGUCGGUUCGGGUGAGAGGAGUUCAGUGGGUCGAGCAAUCGAUUUAUGUAUUCUCCCUCUCUCUGUAAUCGUACACUGCAACCAGUUAGGUGGAUGGUGGAAAGGAAUGAUACUUGGGUUAGUAGUAGUGUGGUCUUGCUUCGGCUUUAUCAUGCUGCUGGGCUCAGGUAGGUGAACUACCAUCCAGUACUGACUGGCACAAUGAAAGAUGCCUAUGGCGUUCUUAUAAUGCGGUAUUUACACUAGCGGCUACAAAUCGGACCAUGUGGUCUAAGCUUGGCAUCUUUGAAUUUGGACUUGCUGGCUACCAGUGGGGCAACUCCUGGUGCCAGUAUAGCUUCAUCUAAUCGGGUGUUGACUUGGCCUUAUGCGCUCUUGUUUGCUAUGAUCAGUUGUUAGUGCAAGAUAUUUGCGAUUAAUUGGCAGUGAGUAGGUCGGCUUUCCGAACGACCCGUCUUGAAACACGGACCAAGGAGUCUAAUUAGGCAUCAAGUCGAUCGGUCUUGAAUAGGCCAGAGAAGGCGUAGAGACAUGUGAUGGUUGCUAAUGCAAACCCGCAACAUGUGCCUGUUGGUAUGGGUGUGUCCUCGGCCACCUCAGCGGAGCAAAGAGAUGCCUGAUUGGUACCCGAAAGAUGGUGAGCCUGGGCAAAUUGAAGCCAGAGGAAACUCUGGUGGAGGAUUGUAGCGAUUCUGACGUGCAAAUCGAUCGUCAGACCUGGGUAUAGGGGCGAAAGACUAAUCGAACCAUC